GACGAACGCUGGCGGCGCGCUUAACACAUGCCAGUCGAACGGAAAGGCCUGCUUUUUCUUGUGGAUUGCGGGUACUCGAGUGGCGAACGGGCGAGUAACACGUGAGUGAUCUGCCCCCAACUUGGGUAGAAGCCUGGGAAACUGGGUCUAAUUCCCGAUAGGACCGCAGGGUGGUGUCGGUGGUGGCAAACGUUUUGCUAGUGGUUGGGGAUGAGCUGGCGGCCUAUCAGCUUGUUGGUGGGGUAAUGUCCUACGAAGGCGGCGACGGGUAGCCGGCCUGGGAGGGUCGACGGUCGAAUUGGGACGGAGACACGGCCCCGACGGCUACGAGAGGCAGCAGUGGGGAAUAAUGGGGAAGGAGCGGAACGCAGAUGCAGCGAGGCCGCGUGGGAGAUGACGGCCUUCGGAUUGUAAACUACUUGCGACCACGAGGUGGCCACCUGGUUGGAAGGGUGGUGACGGUAGUGGUAGAAGAAGCACCGGCUAACUACGUG
rnacentral:rRNA from 1 species